CAGUGCUACAGCUCUUUAGAAUUUGGCUAGCAGGUUUUCUGGUGACAAUAGAAAACCCGG
rnacentral:snRNA from 1 species